AGAUUGAACGCUGGCGGAAUGCUUUACACAUGCAAGUCGAACGGCAGCACGGGGCAACCUGGUGGCGAGUGGCGAACGGGUGAGUAAUACAUCGGAACGUGCCCAAUCGUGGGGGAUAACGUAGCGAAAGUUACGCUAAUACCGCAUACGAUCUACGGAUGAAAGCGGGGGAUCGCAAGACCUCGCGCGAGUGGAGCGGCCGAUGUCAGAUUAGGUAGUUGGUGGGGUAAAGGCUCACCAAGCCAACGAUCUGUAGCUGGUCUGAGAGGACGACCAGCCACACUGGAACUGAGACACGGUCCAGACUCCUACGGGAGGCAGCAGUGGGGAAUUUUGGACAAUGGGCGCAAGCCUGAUCCAGCCAUUCCGCGUGCAGGAUGAAGGCCUUCGGGUUGUAAACUGCUUUUGUACGGAACGAAACGGCGAGCUCUAAUACAGUUUGCUAAUGACGGUACCGUAAGAAUAAGCACCGGCUAACUACGUG
rnacentral:rRNA from 1 species